UGAAGAGGUUAUCAGGGAGUAUAUGUUCUAAACUGCAAGAAACAUUAAACAAUUUGGGAAAGUUUAGUUUAGUUAACAGCUAACAAUUAUAGUGCCAUUUUUAGAACUGAACUGAACCCUUCAAAAGAACAUCAUUAUAAUUGAUAACACAUAGCUGGGCAUUAAAUUUCAAUCAGAAGGGGGGAAUGGCAGUGUUUUCUUACCUUUCCUGGAGA
rnacentral:lncRNA from 1 species